CACCGACAUCAGCGAUUCAUUCUGAGAACCUUGCCCUACGGCAAGAUAAGCAUUCAUGCCCAGCUCUUUCAUCUGCUGUUCACCGAUCACUCGGGUAACAAUAUUUUCACUGAAAGCAUCCGCCAGUUGACGUGCCUGAGAAGACAAAUACGCGGCAUUACAGAUAUUUGGCGGCAUGUUACCCAAGUCUUUCGC
rnacentral:antisense_RNA from 1 species